AGAGUUUGAUCAUGGCUCAGGAUCAACGCUGGCGGCGUGCCUAAUGCAUGCAAGUCGCACGGACUACCUUCGGGUAGUCAGUGGCGAACGGCUGAGGAACACGUGCGUAUCUGCCUUCUCGUGGGGAAUAACGGGUGGAAACACCCGCUAAUACCGCGUACGCUCACGCAAGUGAGGAAAGCCCUUCGGGGCGCGGGGAGAGGAGCGCGCGGCCCAUCAGCUAGUUGGUGAGGUAACGGCUCACCAAGGCGAUGACGGGUAGCUGGUCUGAGAGGACGACCAGCCACACUGGAACUGAGAUACGGUCCAGGCACCUACGGGUGGCAGCAGUCGAGAAUUUUUCGCAAUGGGGGAAACCCUGACGGAGCGACGCCGCGUGGAGGAUGAAGGUCUUCGGAUUGUAAACUCCUGUCAUUGGUGAACAAGGUGCUCCUAUUAACUGUAGGGGUAAUUGCUAGUAGCCGAAGAGGAAGGGACGGCUAACUCUGUGCCAGCAGCCGCGGUAAUACAGAGGUCCCGAGCGUUGUUCGGAUUCAUUGGGCGUAAAGGGUGCGUAGGCGGCUUGCUAAGUCUGAUGUGAAAUCCUGGGGCUCAACCCUGGAACUGCAUUGGAUACUGGUGAGCUAGAGUACUGGAGAGGAAACUGGAAUUUACGGUGUAGCAGUGAAAUGCGUAGAGAUCGUAAGGAAGACCAGUGGCGAAGGCGAGUUUCUGGACAGUUACUGACGCUGAGGCACGAAGGCUAGGGGAGCAAACGGGAUUAGAUACCCCAGUAGUCC
rnacentral:rRNA from 1 species